rnacentral:rRNA from 1 species
UGGGGAAUAUUGCACAAUGGGCGCAAGCCUGAUGCAGCAACGCCGCGUGGGGGAUGAAGGCCUUCGGGUUGUAAACCCCUUUUAGCAGGGAAGAAGCGAAAGUGACGGUACCUGCAGAAAAAGCGCCGGCUAACUACGUGCCAGCAGCCGCGGUAAUACGUAGGGCGCAAGCGUUGUCCGGAAUUAUUGGGCGUAAAGAGCUCGUAGGCGGUUUGUCGCGUCUGCUGUGAAAGUUCGAGGCUCAACCUCGAAUCUGCAGUGGGUACGGGCAGACUAGAGUGUGGUAGGGGAGACUGGAAUUCCUGGUGUAGCGGUGGAAUGCGCAGAUAUCAGGAGGAACACCAAUGGCGAAGGCAGGUCUCUGGGCCAUAACUGACGCUGAGGAGCGAAAGCGUGGGGAGCGAACA